rfam:Pteropus alecto contig39643, whole genome shotgun sequence.
AAACCCGCCCUUGAACCUGAAGCCAGAGCUUCUUGCAAAAUAACUCAGAAAGUUUGCUGGACCCUAAAGCCUUCCCAAUGGUUCCUCCUUCUGAAGUUAAGUCGUUCAAGUCGC